AGAGCUCCAGCCUCCUUUAGCAUCCUUCUCGGCCUUAGGCAUCCUUCGGAUCGACUUCCAUCAUCCUUGCCAUCUUCCUGUACUCCUCGGGCCAACCUAGGUUAGUCCCGAAACUUCUUGCCAUUUUUCUGUUCUUUCUUCUUCAUAUUCCGUUCAUUUAGCUUCCAUCAUCCUUGCCAUCUUCCUGCACUCCUCGGGCCAACCUAGGUUAGUCCCGAAACUUCUUGCCAUUUUUCUGUUCUUUCUUCUUCAUAUUUCGUUCAUUUAGCUUCCUCAAGAGCUUGUUUGCUGUUUUUCUCGAUUUUUUUUUCAAAAUUUUUGUGGCUUCCAUU
rnacentral:lncRNA from 1 species